ACAUGCUUACAACAUAGUGUUAAUGCACUGGAUCCCAUUAGAAAUCCACAGUUAAGCGCUCUCGGGCUAGAGUAGCACUGGGAUGGGUGACCGCCCGAGAAGUCCUAGUAUUUUACAUGCC
rnacentral:rRNA from 1 species